CUACAUGAAGCUGGAAUCGCUAGUAAUCGCAAAUCAGAAUGUUGCGGUGAAUACGUUCCCGGGUCUUGUACACACCGCCCGUCACACCAUGGGAGUCGGAUAUGCCCGAAGCCAGUGACCUAACCGCAAGGAAGGAGCUGUCGAAGGUGGAGCCGAUAACUGGGGUGAAGUCGUAACAAGGUACC
rnacentral:rRNA from 1 species